AUCUCUAGUGACCUCUUGCAAAACAUCUCUUCCUCUGGAAUCAUUCUUACUCACGCCCCCUUCGGUGUGCCCGACUUAUAUGAAUUUCUGGACGAAUGGUCUGAUGAUGAGCUUAA